UACGUAGGGUGCAGGCGUUAAUCGGAAUUACUGGGCGUAAAGCGUGCGCAGGCGGUUUCUUAAGUCAGAUGUGAAAGCCCCGGGCUUAACCUGGGAACUGCGUUUGAAACUGGGAGACUUGAGUGUGGCAGAGGGGGGUGGAAUUCAUGGUGUAGCAGUGAAAUGCGUAGAGAUCAUGAGGAAGACCAGUGGCGAAGGCGGGUCUCUGGACAGUUCCUGACACUGAGGCACGAAGGCCAGGGGAGCAAACGGG
rnacentral:rRNA from 1 species